UCCAGACUCCUACGGGAGGCAGCAGUGGGGGAUAUUGCACAAUGGGGGGAACCCUGAUGCAGCGACGCCGCGUGGGUGAAGAAGCGCCUCGGCGCGUAAAGCCCUGUCAGCAGGGAAGAAAAUGACGGUACCUGAAGAAGAAGCCCCGGCUAACUACGUGCCAGCAGCCGCGGUAAUACGUAGGUGGCAAGCGUUAUCCGGAUUUAUUGGGUGUAAAGGGCGUGUAGGCGGGAAAGCAAGUCAGAUGUGAAAACUAUGGGCUCAACCCAUAGCCUGCAUUUGAAACUGUUGGUCUUGAGUAUCGGAGAGGCAGGCGGAAUUCCUAGUGUAGCGGUGAAAUGCGUAGAUAUUAGGAGGAACACCAGUGGCGAAGGCGGCCUGCUGGACGACAACUGACGGUGAGGCGCGAAAGCGUGGGGAGCAAACAGGAUUAGAUACCCUCGUAC
rnacentral:rRNA from 1 species